AUCGCUUCUCGGCCUUUUGGCUAAGAUCAAGUGUAGUAUCUGUUCUUAUCAGUUUAAUAUCUGAUACGUGCCCUAUCUGGGGACUGCAUAUUUAAAAUAUAAUGUCCUCAUAUGAGGAUGCAGGGUCUCAGGAAGUUAAUGCUCACCCUAUUUUGGGUAAAAAUAGGAAAGAUA
rnacentral:snRNA from 1 species